rnacentral:rRNA from 1 species
UCCGUAAGCUCUGGCUGGUCGAAGAUACCAGGCCGCUGCGACUGUUUAUUAAAAACACAGCACUCUGCAAACACGAAAGUGGACGUAUAGGGUGUGACGCCUGCCCGGUGCCGGAAGGUUAAUUGAUGGGGUUAGCGCAAGCGAAGCUCUUGAUCGAAGCCCCGGUAAACGGCGGCCGUAACUAUAACGGUCCUAAGGUAGCGAAAUUCCUUGUCGGGUAAGUUCCGACCUGCACGAAUGGCGUAACGAUGGCGGCGCUGUCUCCACCCGAGACUCAGUGAAAUUGAAAUCGCUGUGAAGAUGCAGUGUAUCCGCGGCUAGACGGAAAGACCCCGUGAACCUUUACUGUAGCUUUGCACUGGACUUUGAGCCUGCUUGUGUAGGAUAGGUGGGAGGCUUUGAAGCGUGGACGCCAGUUCGCGUGGAGCCAUCCUUGAAAUACCACCCUGGCAUGCUUGAGGUUCUAACUCUGGUCCGUGAUCCGGAUCGAGGACAGUGUAUGGUGGGCAGUUUGACUGGGGCGGUCUCCUCCUAAAGAGUAACGGAGGAGUACGAAGGUGCGCUCAGACCGGUCGGAAAUCGGUCGCAGAGUAUAAAGGCAAAAGCGCGCUUGACUGCGAGACAGACACGUCGAGCAGGUACGAAAGUAGGUCUUAGUGAUCCGGUGGUUCUGUAUGGAAGGGCCAUCGCUCAACGGAUAAAAGGUACUCCGGGGAUAACAGGCUGAUACCGCCCAAGAGUUCAUAUCGACGGCGGUGUUUGGCACCUCGAUGUCGGCUCAUCACAUCCUGGGGCUGAAGCCGGUCCCAAGGGUAUGGCUGUUCGCCAUUUAAAGUGGUACGCGAGCUGGGUUUAGAACGUCGUGAGACAGUUCGGUCCCUAUCUGCCGUGGACGUUUGAGAUUUGAGAGGGGCUGCUCCUAGUACGAGAGGACCGGAGUGGACGAACCUCUGGUGUUCCGGUUGUCACGCCAGUGGCAUUGCCGGGUAGCUAUGUUCGGAAAAGAUAACCGCUGAAAGCAUCUAAGCGGGAAACUUGCCUCAAGAUGAGAUCUCACUGGGAACUUGAUUCCCCUGAAGGGCCGUCGAAGACUACGACGUUGAUAGGCUGGGUGUGUAAGCGUUGUGAGGCGUUGAGCUAACCAGUACUAAUUGCCCGUGAGGCUUGACCAU